rnacentral:rRNA from 1 species
CCUACGGGUGACUGCAGUGGGGAAUAUUGGGCAAUGGGCGCAAGCCUGACCCAGCAAUGCCGCGUGAAGGAAGAAGGCUUUCGGGUUGUAAACUUCUUUGACAGGGGAAGAGCAGAAGACGGUACCCUGAAAACAAGCCACGGCUAACUACGUGCCAGAAGCCGCGGUAAUACGUAGGUGGCAAGCGUUGUACGGAUUUACUGGGUGUAAAGGGCGUGUAGCCGGGAAGGCAAGUCAGAUGUGAAAUCUGGAGGCUCAACCUCCAAAUUGCAUUUGAGACUGUUUUUCUUGCGUACUGGAGAGGCAGACGGAAUUCCUUGUGGAGCGGUGAAAUGCGUAGAUAUAAGGAGGAACACCAGUGGCGAAGGCGGUCUGCUGGACAGCAACUGACGGUGAGGCGCGAAAGCGUGGGGAGCAAACAGGAUUAGAUACCCCUGUAGUC